GACGAACGCUGGCGGCGUGCUUAACACAUGCAAGUCGAACGGUAAGGCCCUUCGGGGUACACGAGUGGCGAACGGGUGAGUAACACGUGGGUGAUCUGCCCUGCACUUCGGGAUAAGCCUGGGAAACUGGGUCUAAUACCCGAUAGGACCCUGGGAUGCAUGUCCUGGGGUGGAAAGCUUUUGCGGUGUGGGAUGGGCCCGCAGCCUAUCAGCUUGUUGGUGGGGUGAUGGCCUACCAAGGCGACGACGGGUAGCCGGCCUGAGAGGGUGACCGGCCACACUGGGACUGAGAUACGGCCCAGACUCCUACGGGAGGCAGCAGUGGGGAAUAUUGCACAAUGGGCGCAAGCCUGAUGCAGCGACGCCGCGUGAGGGAUGACGGCCUUCGGGUUGUAAACCUCUUUCAGCACCGACGAAGCGCAAGUGACGGUAGGUGCAGAAGAAGGACCGGCCAACUACGUGCCAGCCGCCGCAGUAA
rnacentral:rRNA from 1 species